GCCUACGGGCCAUCCACAACCCUGGUAACGCCCGAUCUCGUCUGAUCUCGGAAAGCUAAGCAGGGUCGGGCCUGGUUAGUACUUGGAUGGGAGACCUCCUGGGAAUACCGGGUGCUGUAGGCU
rnacentral:rRNA from 7 species